rnacentral:tRNA from 1 species
GCUGGGGCUCAGUGGCAGAGUGCUUGCCUAGCAUGUGUGAGGCACUGGGUUCGAUCCUCAGCAUCA